CCUCUCUCUGUUAUUAUGUACAACAUUUUGCACACUUGAUUGUCAAUUCACUGUAGCCAUCCCCCUCAUGAUACUAAUCCAAUUAGAAGCUAAAAAAAAAUGGGGUGAAAAUUAUUACUUGAUACAUUAAUGGUGAGAGAGAGGCUUUCAAGACUUUUUUCCCCACACCAUUUUCAUUGCAAAAUAACUAUUUUUACAGUGUUAUGUUAUAGUAAUAAUCUAUUUAAGUCCCUGCAAUGAAAUGCUUGUUUGCAUUUUUUUUUUUUGAGGUGAUGUUUUUGUGACAUUUGGCCUUUAAAGUUAAAAUAUGAUCCAAACUGUUAUCUUUCUCUAUUUAUCCUCCUGCCUUCUAUAC